GGGUUGUGAGGUUAAGCGACUAAGCGUACACGGUGGAUGCCCUGGCAGUCAGAGGCGAUGAAGGGCGUGCUAAUCUGCGAUAAGCGCCGGUAAGGUGAUAUGAACCGUUAUAACCGGCGAUACCCGAAUGGGGAAACCCAGUGUGACUCGUCACACUAUCAUUAACUGAAUCCAUAGGUUAAUGAGGCGAACCGGGGGAACUGAAACAUCUAAGUACCCCGAGGAAAAGAAAUCAACCGAGAUUCCCCCAGUAGCGGCGAGCGAACGGGGAGGAGCCCAGAGCCUGAAUCAGCAUGUGUGUUAGUGGAAGCGUCUGGAAAGGCGCGCGAUACAGGGUGACAGCCCCGUACACAAAAGCGCAUGUGCUGUGAGCUCGAUGAGUAGGGCGGGACACGUGGUAUCCUGUCUGAAUAUGGGGGGACCAUCCUCCAAGGCUAAAUACUCCUGACUGACCGAUAGUGAACCAGUACCGUGAGGGAAAGGCGAAAAGAACCCCGGCGAGGGGAGUGAAAAAGAACCUGAAACCGUGUACGUACAAGCAGUGGGAGCCCCACCACCAAAGCAUUUGCUGUACCGCGUUGACGGAGCGAAGCGACGUCAAACCGAUA
rnacentral:rRNA from 1 species